rnacentral:miRNA from 1 species
AGUCAGCCUGUUCUUUGAAGCUUUGAAGUCAGGCAUUGACUUCUCUCUAGUUAUGAAGUCCUAGAUGGCAU